rnacentral:rRNA from 1 species
AUUGAACGCUGGCGGCAGGCCUAACACAUGCAAGUCGAACGGUAGCACAGAGAGCUUGCUCUCGGGUGACGAGUGGCGGACGGGUGAGUAACGUCUGGGAAACUGCCCGAUGGAGGGGGAUAACUACUGGAAACGGUAGCCAGUACCGCAUAACGUCGCAAGACCAAAGUGGAGGACCUUCGGGCCUCACACCAUCGGAUGUGCCCAGAUGGGAUUAGCUAGUAGGUGGGGUAAUGGCUCACCUAGGCGACGAUCCCUAGCUGGUCUGAGAGGAUGACCAGCCACACUGGAACUGAGACACGGUCCAGACUCCUACGGGAGGCAGCAGUGGGGAAUAUUGCACAAUGGGCGCAAGCCUGAUGCAGCCAUGCCGCGUGUAUGAAGAAGGCCUUCGGGUUGUAAAGUACUUUCAGCGGGGAGGAAGGCGGUGAAGUUAACAGCUUCACCGAUUGACGUUACCCGCAGAAGAAGCACCGGCUAACUCCGUGCCAGCCGCCGCCGUAA